UAUAUAUGAUUAGGUUGUCCAGUGGAAAUGCCUAUGAGUGAUUUUCCUAAUUGGGUAAUGAAGGUGGGAAGACCCACCCUUCAUGGGCUGAGCCUUAAACUGAAUGAAUGUAAACGAGAGCUGAGCCAACAUUGCUCAGUUGUACCCUGAGGAAACAUGAGUCAGGGCAAGUUACCUCCAGUAUGGACACAGAGCAGGUUUGUUCCAAAGCAACGCAGGCAUGCGCAGAGUUCUCCCAGUGCCUCUUGGGCUUCGUUUUCUCACAAUGAUGCCUGGUUACUUUUCUCCCCAAGCAGCAGAAGGCUUUAUCCCAUGUCCAUAUGUUAAUUUAACACAGCUUAGCUCACUGCAUCUGGGGCUUCUCUGUUUCUCCUUUCUCCAAGAUUGUUCUCCCUCCAUGAAAGAAGCAGACAUUGCUACUUUACCAUCUUGGUCAAAGGCUGAGCAGAACUCGAAGCCUAGCCAUUUCCACGCUGCCCUUUCUUAGAUGCGUCCCAAGCUCCCACUUCUGCCGGUCUCGCCUCUGCACGGACUACUUGCCGCGAUACUGAUGUUGCUCCAUUCCAUUUUUAAUCUCUUUAAUCUGCGUCCAACACUCCCCUGAGAAAUGACUGUAGCACAUCACGGUAGACCUCAGAUUUGUGAUAGGAUGAAGAAUCUUGAAACGGAAACUUUUCUGUGUGAUUCUGGUAGACCCCAGUGUAACCACAAAAGCGUUUAUAGAGGAACUUGAAAAGAGCCAAUGAGUGAGAAUGUCCAAUGAGGAUAGAAGAAAGAAAGAACAGUUGAUGACAUGUGGAACUAAAGCCAAGGGUGCACGUGAAAGUCGGAGGACAACUCCAAGAAGUAGGCUCUCUCCUCAGUCUUGGAGGUGAGUGCCCUUAUCUGUUGUGCCAUCUAGCUCAUGGGGCUGCUAUUAUAUUUACAUAGGAAGUUUUAAGAAGAUACAUGCUAACCAAGUUUGAUAUCUUUUCAGAAAACUGGACAAAUUGUCACAAAUUAACUUUUUAUCCACUAACACCCCAAGAAAGAAGAUGUGCAGGCCUUGCCUCCUGUUCAGUACCCUGUUCCCCAAAAUGAAGUUACUUUUCUAACACAACUUUUUAAAGUUGUUUCCCACAAAACAUCCUAAAGAGCAUGCAUCACUCUGAAAGUUUGCCAGAAGAAAACUUUCCUUCAUUUUGAUGCCAAAUUCCUUUGGGAAGAAGAGAGAGCAUGAAGGAGCAUGUUCCUGGGUGGACUCAUCCACACCCAGGUGUGCUGCUCCCUCCCUGAGUACACAUUCCCUGCCCAGAUAGACUGCUCUCUGCCCAAGCUUUGGAAGUGAUUCUCAGAAGUCUCCUUAUGUGUAGUAGACAAACUUUAUUCUAUAUGGCAACUACUGACAUCUGGAUUCCCACCAAGAGGCAACUCUGCUGGAUUCAAUGGCAGACCUAUAGGAACAUGAAGCUGUAAUUAGUAUGACUUGAAGUCAGAUAAAUUAAAAAAAAAAAAUACCAGCUUAUAUUUCUAAAGUUGAAGCACAUAAAGGAAAUUUGGGCUCCCCCAAAUUGUUGAUGGUUAUUGUCAAGACACAAGCACAGAAACCUAAUGUCACCAUGAGACACAGAGUUCCUUUUGCACAUUCCCUGUCUCAUGGCUAAAGAAUUUUUUAAAAGAUCCUGAUCAUGAAAGCUGGAGACCUUGACAAUGGCUGGAAAGAAGGCAAGGGAAAGGGGAGAAAGAACCAAGUUUUGCUUUCUGAGUUAGAAAGCAAGAAGGCAGGCAGGUGCAGCAAUGGAAGCCUGUAAGCAGCUGCAUCCAGAAGUAGGUGCCUAGGGAAUUCAGUAUAGGAGUGCUCUCGGAGGAGUAGCAGGUUUAGGAUCUGCGGGUCUGGAGAUGGAGAGAGAGGAAGGGAGAGUCACACUCUCAGAACUAAAAAGGAGCAGGUUUGGUGAAAAUUUGCAAGUCAAGUAGAUGCAUAAAGGGGAGGGGCUUUGAGACAUAACACAUUAAAGCAAUAGUUAUUCUCAGCUGUUAGAUUUGUCUUUGCUUGUGUUACAUUUGUUUCACCUUUUGUCCUUAAGUUGGAUCCUUAAAAUGGGAUUUCUACUUAUCAGAAGAACUCUAUGCCUUUAUCAGGACAAAGGGAGCACUAGGAAUCUUAAUCAAAAGGCCAUUAUCAGCCCAAACCACUAUAACUACAAUUACUGACCAUCAAUCAUCCUAUCUUUGUGAGAGGUUGAAAAGUGGUACUAUUUAUAUGUACCAAAGAGGUUCCCCAACAUGGGAAGCACUUCCUGUCUACAUUAGAGAGGACACCUAUCUCAAAUGUUGCCUGGGAAACAGCUGGCUAUAAAUGACCCACUUUAGUUCCCUUAUGACCCAAACAGCCUUGAGAUGGAACCAACAGUUUCCAUUCAGUGGAACAUGAGGAGCAGUGGCAGGCCCUGGUACCAUGAGACCAGACGGCAGAGGGGUCAGCAGUAACUGCACAGCAAACCAGAAUUAUCAACAAAUUCCACCUCAUCUCAACUACACUUUAGGAUUCCUCCCAGGUUCCGGGUUGUGACCAGUUAGCUCUCCAUGUCCCCUCAGUCAAGAUCACUUAAAUUGCUUUGGUACCUGUCAAGCAAGGAGUCAAAUUUGAGCAUGUCUCUUGUCUCACCUACAAUACUCCUGUACAUCUACAAUAAAGCUAUGCUUGCAGGGAGGGGGAACAAAACAGCACUGUGGUGUUUGUUUCUGUCUACACUGUCUAUGUAUGUACACACUAUUAAUGGUGAGUUUGUUUUUAGUCUGUCCUCAGCCUGGGUGGCACCGCACCCAGGAAUACAAGACUGGUAUUUGCAGAGAGUAAUCAAACUUGGUGUGAUGGUGAAUUAUCAACUUGAUAAAAUUUAAAAUCAUGGGGAGUUGGACCUUUGAGAAUGUCUGGGAGGGGUUUCCUUGAUUAUAUUAAUUGAUGUAGAAAUACCCUAGUUAAGUGUGGAUGGGACCAUUCCCUGUGUGAGGGAUCCUGGAUUGUAUAAAAUGGAAAAUGUCAGCUGAGCACUAGCAAGCUCACAGGCAUGGUUUUCUGCUCCCUGAUAGUGGACAUUGUAACACACACACACACACACACAGAGAGAGAGAGAGAGGGAGAGAGAGGAACACAGUGGGGAGUUGUUUUAGUUUUAAAUCAUGUUGUCUUGGGGGUAAUUAGGCCCUUUAUAAUUUAGGAAAACUUGGCUGCGUUGAGGGUAGUUCCUUGUUACUUUCUUAUUUCAUCAAAGUUUGAGUGUGUGUUUGUUGGUUUGGGUUGUUUUUUUGUUUGUUUGUUUUGUUUUGUUUUGUUUUGUUUUGUUUGGUGUGUUUUAGUUAUCGACAGGAUCUUACUAAGUAGCCACAGCUGACAGUCCUCCUGCCUUGGCCUCUAAGAUGCAAAAAUUGCAAUGCAUGUCAUCCCUGACCAAGGUUCCAUUUUGAUUUCAUGACUCUUGCCAUGAGUAACCUCAUUUUGGUUGGUAUAUUGAAACCUAGUGCAGGAUUUCAUACCGAAACUAUGAUAUAAAUUUUAUAUCAUUUUCUCCAAAGUCCAAUUUAUAACAGUUUUCUGAUCUCAGUAGAACCUGAGGGGAUGCUCUGGGGAAGGGAAGAGUUGAGAGUAGAAUGCAAAGCAGAAUUACUAGGUGAGAACCUGAGUCCUAUAGAACUAUCUUCUAAGCAACUUUCCUAGCCUUCCUGAACUAUGAACCCUCUUACCUUCUCCUAGAGUUUUAUGCUUCAAUAUUUUUUAAAUAAAAGAACUCAGUGGCUUUUACAACUUCAGGAUUUGAUAUGAGAAAUCUGGCUACCUCUUACUCCUGUGGUAGAGGAUACAAUUAGUAAUAUAUAUAUAUUACUAUGUAAUAUAUAUAAUAUAUAUUUAUAAUUAGAGAAAAUGAUAGUAAAGGACCUUGAAUCCAACACCCAGCAUAGAAAUUAGAACCUUAUCAUAUGAUUUUAAGCAAGAUAAUUGUGAAACAACUUCAAAUAAUCUUGUAUUCCUUAUACUGUAUUAAAUGUAAUAGCAAAUAACUAAACAAUAACAACAAAACUGUCUCAUGUAAAAAGAGGUCUGAGGAUUGUUCUAUAGUAGUAAAGAUCAGAGAUACAUGGCCCUUUCUAUUGCUGUGGCAAAAUAACUGCCUAAGCCUUUUCAAACAACCACCAACUGGAGAUUGCUUAAGCAUAGGCCUUUUAUUACCAAGAUCUCCUUUUGGUUCAAUAUAGCCGUAGAAGUCCCAGACUUAACUUCUGUAUUCUAGGAAGCAGAAGCAAGCUUCCCCACUCCUCCCUGCCCCCCCCCCCCCAAAAAAAACCUCCACCAAUAUCCUUCAGCUUAUAUCUCAUUCACAAAUCCCUGGAAAGUAGCUGGGAUUAUAGGUUUUCAUCUGGAACAUUUCUCAGAAAUCUAUAUCAAGGGGGGAAAGGAGUAUUUCCUAUUGAAUUAGAACCUAGCAGUCUCAUGCCAUAUUGUAUUGGUUAUGUUUCUAUUGCUGGGGUAAAAUAACUUACAGAAGGAAGAGCUUCUCUUUCUUUGGUUUAUGGUUUCAGGUGGUUAGAGUCCAUGGUGGCUGAGCAGAGGUGGCAAGUUGCUGGAGCAGCAGCUGAGAGCUCACAUCUCAAGCCUCAAACAGGAAAGGGAAGGAACAACCUGGAGAUGCCAUAUCAAAGCUGGUCCCCAUUGACAUGCCUUCUUGAGCAAGGCCACACCUCCUGAGCCUUUCCAAACAGCUAACAACUGAAGGCCAAGUAUUCAAACAUCCAAAAGUUUUGGGGGAUAUCGUAUGCAAACCACCACACAUAUACUCUUUUGAAAAAAACUGGAAGAGGGAUCCUGAAGAGUGGUCUGCUCUCAGUGGGUAAAGCCCUCACUGCACAAGCAUGAGGACCCGAGUUUGGAUUCACACUAGGCACAAAAAAGCCACGUGUGGCCACAUGUGUUUGCAUCCUCCAUGCAGAAAGGGAGGAUGCUGGAGCUCACUGGAUUAAUAGUCGAUCCAGUUGAUGGACUCCAGGUUCAGUAAAGAGGCUCUGUCAGAGAAAACACGUGAGAAAAUGACUAAAGAAGACCCCUGAUGAUGGCCUCAGGCACACAUUCAAGUGUCUGAAUCAGCACAUAGACACAUGAAUUUACCUCAUACUCCCAAGUAAAUAAAUAAAUACGCAUUUUUUUUUUUUUUUA